rnacentral:rRNA from 1 species
UACGUAGGUGGCAAGCGUUGUCCGGAUUUACUGGGCGUAAAGGAUGCGUAGGUGGAUAUUUAAGCGGGAUGUGAAAUACCCGAGCUCAACUUGGGUGCUGCAUUCCAAACUGGAUAUCUAGAGUGCAGGAGAGGUAAGUGGAAUUCCUAGUGUAGCGGUGAAAUGCGUAGAGAUUAGGAAGAACACCAGUGGCGAAGGCGACUUACUGGACUGUAACUGACACUGAGGCAUGAAAGCGUGGGGAGCAAACAGG